rnacentral:lncRNA from 1 species
UGGGAAGAUGGUGAAAUACUCGGGGGAAGAGAUGGGGAAGCCGUCUUGCACGAGGAGCGGUAGGCUUGCAUUCGUUAGAAUGUGAGAGAAAUCAAAUCAAAUUUCCAGGGCAAGAGCGAAGGAAAUCUCCCUGUUCGGUUCUUGAAGGUGAUUUUUCCAUUUCCCAUUCCGGUAUGAUAUAAUAUGUUAUCUUUGAAGUACGAUUCGAUUAAGUGAAAGCCAUUCUCCAAAUCAUUUUGAAUUAGCAAAUAUUUUGUUGCAAAAUUUCGUCAUGAAUGCUUUAAUACUGCACAUGAGGUCUCUUGCAGCGUCUUUAUAGCAUUUCCCAGUAGUUGAGUUCAUGAUUUGCUGUCUUUCUUUACUUUUAAAAUAUUUCUUUUCUAUUGGUGAAUCUUCGCUUGAAAGGUGAAAGUGCAAAUUUUGAUUUUAUUCUUAGAUUUUGAAUUAAUAUUGUGUUGAUUGUAUUAUAGAGCAAAAAUGGUUCUAAAGAAUUUAUAGAAGAACUUACGGGAGAAGCAAACCAGUAAUUAACAAGGGAUCAGCCGCCUUACAUUCCUAGACUGACAUGUCUAACACUUAUUAAUGCAAACGUUACAUUAAUCAUUCUUAAAGAUACUCAUCAGACCUACGCAAGCACUUCAGCCACAAGAGAGAGCUUCGGAUGCAAAGGAGUUCGGCUUUGAAAGGGAGCACUUCGGCAGAAGAGCCUUGAUGGAGAUAGCGCCUCAGUUGGAAGACAAUUCUUGUCUUUCUCUUUAUUUUGUCCUGAUUUACUGCCACAUAUAUGCAUGUAGUACCUCCACGUGGCUUCCAUUAGAGGCUUCAUAUAUGAUCAGUAACAAGCUGUAUAAUUUUUCUAAUAUGACGAACGAUGGGUGAGAAUUCCUCUCAUAAUUGAUAAGAAACAUGUGUAAAAUGGGGAAGGCGUAUAAUUUACUGAACAGGUCUAUUCCAUAAGGAAGUGAAGGUUGAUAUGUACCUCAGGCAUAUACAUUGGCUUGGAGUGAGAGGCGUACAUAGUCUUCUACUAUUUUGUUUCAGUUACCUUUCAAUAAGAUGCAGUGCCAGCCCAUUACAGCAGAAUGGAGGACCUGAAUUUUCUGCAUUGCACAUUCUUCAAUAAUUCAAACUUUUUCUGCAGCGAUUUCCCUUAUCUUUCCUUCAUAAUUUAUUUUGGUUCAGGGGAUGGUGGUGGGGGGUGUAAUUGAUUUUUUUUCUGGGUUGUAUUGCAGAUUCACGUCUACAGUACAGUAAUGCUAAUGGGUUGAAGACCAUAUCAACAUUUUUCUUCCAUCAUGCAGAUAUGGCCUAGCUUAAACCACAAGAUGUAACAUCUUUCUCGCUGUGCUGAGUUCUUAUAUAUCAGGCUCAAAGGUUGAGGUAUAGUUUCAAGGAUAUGUUGGAUAAAUAUGGUGAAGCUGAAAUUUCUAUUGAAGAGGUGACUGCAGAUCUAAUGAGGGACACUGGUGAGACUUUCUAAUUGCUUUUAAAAUUGUCAAGUUGCAAAUAGUUAUUUACCAAGAUCUUAUUGUGAGUUAUUUAAAAAUGUAAAAAGUUGGUUAUUUCAGCCCAAAUGGGCCACUACUUUUUCAAUUGUAUGCUUGGCUCUCCUUUUUCACCUCUAUAUUGAUUAAUGCAUUUUGCAGCUAUCUAAUUUCUUGUAAACCUUCUGUUAUUGAUGUAUUUCUUUUCCAGAAAUUGUCGCCCUGCAUUAAUAAAAAUAUAGG